rnacentral:rRNA from 1 species
AGAGUUUGAUCAUGGCUCAGGAUGAACGCUGGCGGCGUGCCUAAUACAUGCAAGUCGAACGCUUUGUGGUUCAACUGAUUUGAAGAGCUUGCUCAGAUAUGACGAUGGACAUUGCAAAGAGUGGCGAACGGGUGAGUAACACGUGGGAAACCUACCUCUUAGCAGGGGAUAACAUUUGGAAACAGAUGCUAAUACCGUAUAACAAUAGCAACCGCAUGGUUGCUACUUAAAAGAUGGUUCUGCUAUCACUAAGAGAUGGUCCCGCGGUGCAUUAGUUAGUUGGUGAGGUAAUGGCUCACCAAGACGAUGAUGCAUAGCCGAGUUGAGAGACUGAUCGGCCACAAUGGGACUGAGACACGGCCCAUACUCCUACGGGAGGCAGCAGUAGGGAAUCUUCCACAAUGGGCGAAAGCCUGAUGGAGCAACGCCGCGUGUGUGAUGAAGGGUUUCGGCCCGUAAAACACUGUUGUAAGAGAAGAAUGACAUUGAGAGUAACUGUUCAAUGUGUGACGGUAUCUUACCAGAAAGGAACGGCUAAAUACGUGCCAGCAGCCGCGGUAAUACGUAUGUUCCAAGCGUUAUCCGGAUUUAUUGGGCGUAAAGCGAGCGCAGACGGUUAUUUAAGUCUGAAGUGAAAGCCCUCAGCUCAACUGAGGAAUUGCUUUGGAAACUGGAUGACUUGAGUGCAGUAGAGGAAAGUGGAACUCCAUGUGUAGCGGUGAAAUGCGUAGAUAUAUGGAAGAACACCAGUGGCGAAGGCGGCUUUCUGGACUGUAACUGACGUUGAGGCUCGAAAGUGUGGGUAGCAAACAGGAUUAGAUACCCUGGUAGUCCACACCGUAAACGAUGAGUGCUAGGUGUUUGAGGGUUUCCGCCCUUAAGUGCCGCAGCU